ensembl:miRNA dre-mir-124-4 microRNA 124-4
GGUUUGAGCUCUUUGUGUUCACAGUGGACCUUGAUUUAAUUUUAUACAAUUAAGGCACGCGGUGAAUGCCAAGAGAGAAGCC